GCCUUGCAGCUCUGUGCGGCCUGCUCUUGCUCGGCAACCUCUGCUC
rnacentral:tRNA from 1 species